AUGUAAAAUGACUCUCGGCAACGGAUAUCUCGGCUCUUGCAUCGAUGAANAACGUANCGAAAUGCNAUACUUGGUGUGAAUUGCAGAAUCCCGUGAACCAUCGAGUCUUUGAACGCAAGUUGCGCCCAAAGCCAUUAGGCUGAGGGCACGCCUGCCUGGGUGUCACAC
rnacentral:rRNA from 1 species